rnacentral:rRNA from 1 species
CCUACGGGAGACAGCAGUGAGGAAUAUUGGUCAAUGGCCGUAAGGCUGAACCAGCCAAGUCGCGUGACGGAAGAAGGAUCGAUGGUUUGUAAACUUCUUUUAUAGGGGAAUAAAGGUAUCCACGUGUGGAUAUUUGCAUGUACCCUAUGAAUAAGCAUCGGCUAACUCCGUGCCAGCAGCCGCGGUAAUACGGAGGAUGCGUGCGUUAUCCGGAUUUAUUGGGUUUAAAGGGUGCGUAGGUUGUUUUUUAAGUCAGCGGGGAAAGUUUGUGGCUCAACCAUAAAAUUGCCGUUGAAACUGGAAGACUUGAGUGUGUUUGAGGUAGGCGGAAUGCGUGGUGUAGCGGUGAAAUGCAUAGAUAUCACGCAGAACUCCGAUUGCGAAGGCAGCUUACUAAGCCAUAACUGACACUGAAGCACGAAAGCGUGGGGAUCAAACAGGAUUAGAUACCCGGGUAGUC